rnacentral:rRNA from 1 species
UACCAGACUCCUACGGGAGGCAGCAGUGGGGAAUAUUGCACAAUGGGGGAAACCCUGAUGCAGCAACGCCGCGUGAGUGAAGAAGUAUUUCGGUAUGUAAAGCUCUAUCAGCAGGGAAGAAAAUGACGGUACCUGAGUAAGAAGCCCCGGCUAACCACGUGCCAGCAGCCGCGGUAAUACGUAGGGGGCAAGCGUUAUCCGGAUUUACUGGGUGUAAAGGGGGCGCAGACGGCGAUGCAAGCCAGGAGUAAAAGCCCGGGGCCCAACCCCGGGACUGCUCUUGGAACUGCGUGGCUGGAGUGCAGGAGGGGCAGGCGGAAUUCCUGGUGUAGCGGUGAAAUGCGUAGAUAUCAGGAGGAACACCGGUGGCGAAGGCGGCCUGCUGGACUGCAACUGACGUUGAGGCCCGAAAGCGUGGGGAGCAAACAGGAUUAGAUACCCGUGUAAA